GACGAACGCUGGCGGCGUGCUUAACACAUGCAAGUCGAGCGGUAAGGCCCUUUCGGGGGUACACGAGCGGCGAACGGGUGAGUAACACGUGGGUGACCUGCCCUCAGCUCUGGGAUAAGCCUGGGAAACCGGGUCUAAUACUGGAUAUGACUCCAUGACGCAUGUUGUGGGGUGGAAAGCCUUGUGCGGCUGAGGAUGGGCCCGCGGCCUAUCAGCUUGUUGGUGGGGUGAUGGCCUACCAAGGCGACGACGGGUAGCCGGCCUGAGAGGGCGACCGGCCACACUGGGACUGAGACACGGCCCAGACUCCUACGGGAGGCAGCAGUGGGGAAUCUUGCGCAAUGGGCGAAAGCCUGACGCAGCGACGCCGCGUGAGGGAUGACGGCCUCGGUGUAACGUAC
rnacentral:rRNA from 1 species